rnacentral:rRNA from 1 species
ACGUGGGUGACCUGCCCUCCACUCUGGGAUAAGCCUGGGAAACUGGGUCUAAUACCGGAUAUGACUCAUGAUCGCAUGGUUGUGGGUGGAAAGUUUGUUCUUAAUUGGACACUUUGGUGGGGGAUGGGCCCGCGGCCUAUCAGCUUGUUGGUGGGGUGAUGGCCUACCAAGGCGACGACGGGUAGCCGGCCCGAGAGGGCGACCGGCCACACUGGGACUGAGACACGGCCCAGACUCCUACGGGAGGCAGCAGUGGGGAAUAUUGCGCAAUGGGCGGAAGCCUGACGCAGCGACGCCGCG